rnacentral:rRNA from 1 species
UACAGAGGGUGCGAGCGUUAAUCGGAAUUACUGGGUGUAAAGCGUGCGUAGACGGUUAUUUAAGUCGGGUGUGAAAGCCCCGGGCUCAACCUGGGAAUUGCAUUCGAGACUGAAUAGCUAGGGUACGGUAGAGGGAAGUGGAAUUUCCGGUGUAGCGGUGAAAUGCGUAGAUAUUGGGAGGAACACCGGUGGCGAAGGCGGCUACCUGGACCGGUUCUGACGCUGAGGCGCGAAAGCGUGGGGAGCAAAACAGG